rnacentral:rRNA from 1 species
CUACGGAGGGGGUUAGCGUUGUUCGGAAUUACUGGGCGUAAAGCGCACGUAGGCGGACUGGAAAGUUGGGGGUGAAAUCCCGGGGCUCAACCCCGGAACUGCCUCCAAAACUUCCAAUCUAGAGAUCGAGAGAGGUGAGUGGAAUUCCAAGUGUAGAGGUGAAAUUCGUAGAUAUUUGGAGGAACACCAGUGGCGAAGGCGGCUCACUGGCUCGAUACUGACGCUGAGGUGCGAAAGCGUGGGGAGCAAACAGGAUUAGAAACCCUAGUAGUCC